GAUGAACGCUGGCGGCGUGCUUAACACAUGCAAGUCGAGCGAGAAGUUUUGAAAAGAUUCUUCUGCUGAAAUUUAAAAUGGAAAGCGGCGGACGGGUGAGUAACGCGUAGGCAACCUGCCCCAUACAAAGGGAUAGCAUUUGUACACGAAUAUUAAUACCUUAUGAAACUUAACUAGUGCAUGCUACGUCGGUCAAAGAUUUAUCGGUAUGGGAUGGGCCUGCGUCUGAUUAGCUAGUUGGUGAGGUAACGGCUAACCAAGGCGACGAUCAGUAGCCGACCUGAGAGGGUGAACGGCCACAUUGGAACUGAGACACGGUCCAAACUCCUACGGGAGGCAGCAGUGGGGAAUAUUGCACAAUGGGGGAAACCAUGAUGCAGCAACGCCGCGUGAACGAUGAAGGCCUUUGGGUCGUAAAGUUCUGUUCUAGGUGAUGAAAACUGACAGUAACCUAGGAGAAAGCCCCGGCUAACUCCGUG
rnacentral:rRNA from 1 species